GCCCGGUUGGAGGAAUCUGGUCAGACUCGCGGUGCUCAAACCACCGUGCCUUCGGGCAUGUGGGUUCGAAUCCCACACCGGGCAC
rnacentral:tRNA from 1 species